rnacentral:rRNA from 1 species
GAUACCCUAUUAUUUUAAAUGUAAUUUUUUACCUAGAUUAUUAUUAGUUAUGGUCUUUAAAAUUAAAAAAUUUGGCGGUAUUUUAGUCUGUUCAGAGGAACCUGUUUUUUAAUCGAUAGUCCACGAUAAUUUUUACUUUAUCUUUAAAUUUGUAUAUCGUCGUUUAUAAAAAUUUUAGGAGAAUUUUAAUUUUUUAGAUUUAUUAUGUUUAAUUUAUUUCAGAUCAAGGUGUAGUUUAUGUUAAAGUUUAAAUGGGUUACAUUAUGUUUAUAUUUGGAAUUUAAUUUUAAAAUUUUGAUGAAAUUGGAUUUGAUAGUAAAUUCUUUAUUUUUGGGAUUUGAUUUAGCUCUAAAAUAUGUACACAUCGCC